rnacentral:rRNA from 1 species
GAUGAACGCUGGCGGCGUGCCUAAUACAUGCAAGUCGAGCGAAUGGAUUAAGAGCUUGCUCUUAUGAAGUUAGCGGCGGACGGGUGAGUAACACGUGGGUAACCUGCCCAUAAGACUGGGAUAACUCCGGGAAACCGGGUCUAAUACCGGAUAACAUUUUGAACCGCAUGGUUCGAAAUCGAAACGCGGCUUCGGCUGUCACUUAUGGAUGGCCCCGCGUCGCAUUAGCUAGUUGGUGAGGUAACGGCUCACCAAGGCAACGAUGCGUAGCCGACCUGAGAGGGUGAUCGGCCACACUGGGACUGAGACACGGCCCAGACUCCUACGGGAGGCAGCAGUAGGGAAUCUUCCGCAAUGGACGAAAGUCUGACGGAGCAACGCCGCGUGAGUGAUGAAGGCUUUCGGGUCGUAAAACUCUGUUGUUAGGGAAGAACAAGUGCUAGUUGAAUAAGCUGGCAACUUGACGGUACCUAACCAGAAAGCCACGGCUAACUACGUGCCAGCCGCCGCCGUAA